rnacentral:tRNA from 1 species
GCCUGGGUGGCUCAGUCGGUUAAGUGUCUGACUUCGGCUCAGGUCACUAUUUCACUGUCCGUGGGUUCAAGCCCCGCGUUGGGCU